UGGGGAAUCUUGCACAAUGGGCGAAAGCCUGAUGCAGCAACGCCGCGUGAGCGAUGAAGGCCUUCGGGUCGUAAAGCUCUGUCCUAUGGGAAGAUAAUGACGGUACCAUAGGAGGAAGCCCCGGCUAACUACGUGCCAGCAGCCGCGGUAAUACGUAGGGGGCAAGCGUUAUCCGGAAUUACUGGGCGUAAAGGGUGCGUAGGCGGUUUAUCAAGUCAGAGGUCAAAGGCUACGGCUCAACCGUAGUAAGCCUCUGAAACUGAUGAACUUGAGUAUAGGAGAGGAAAGUGGAAUUCCAAGUGUAGCGGUGAAAUGCGUAGAUAUUUGGAGGAACACCAGUGGCGAAGGCGACUUUCUGGACUAUAACUGACGCUGAGGCACGAAAGCGUGGGGAGCAAACA
rnacentral:rRNA from 2 species